rnacentral:rRNA from 1 species
CGGCUCAGUAACACGUGGAUAACCUACCCUCAGAUCUGGGAUAACUCCGGGAAACUGGAGAUAAUACCGGAUAAUCCGUGAACGCUGGAAUGCCUUACGGUUGAAAGCUUUAGCGUCUGAGGAUGGGUCUGCGGCCGAUUAGGUAGUUGCUGGGGUAACGUCCCAACAAGCCGAUAAUCGGUACGGGUUGUGAGAGCAAGAGCCCGGAGAUGGAUUCUGAGACACGAAUCCAGGUCCUACGGGGCGCAGCAGGCGCGAAAACUUUACACUGCGCGAAAGCGCGAUAAGGGGACCUCGAGUGCGUGCGCAAAGCGUACGCUUUUCAGAUGCCUAAAAAGCAUCUGGAAUAAGGGCCGGGCAAGACCGGUGCCAGCCGCCGCGGUAACACCGGCGGCUCAAGUGGUGGCCGCUAUUAUUGGGCUUAAAGGGUCCGUAGCCGGACCAGUUAGUCCCUUGGGAAAUCUUACGGCUUAACCGUAAGGCUGCCAAUGGAUACUGCUGGUCUUGGGACCGGGAGAGGCAAGAGGUACCUCAGGGGUAGGAGUGAAAUCCUGUAAUCCUUGAGGGACCGCCAGUGGCGAAGGCGUCUUGCUAGAACGGGUCCGACGGUGAGGGACGAAAGCUAGGGGCACGAACCGGAUUAGAUACCCGGGUAGUCCUAGC